UACGUAGGGGGCUAGCGUUGUCCGGAAUCAUUGGGCGUAAAGAGCGUGUAGGCGGCCAGAUAAGUCCGCUGUGAAAUCUCGAGGCUCAACUUCGAGCUGUCGGUGGAAACUGUCUGGCUAGAGUCCGGAAGAGGAGAAUGGAAUUCCUGGUGUAGCGGUGAAAUGCGCAGAUAUCAGGAAGAACACCCGUGGCGAAGGCGGUUCUCUGGGACGGUACUGACGCUGAGACGCGAAAGCGUGGGUAGCAAACAGG
rnacentral:rRNA from 1 species